AAGCCAGACUCCUACGGGAGGCAGCAGUGGGGGAUAUUGCACAAUGGGGGGAACCCUGAUGCAGCGACGCCGCGUGGGUGAAGGAGCGUUUCGGCGCGUAAAGCCCUAUCGGCAGGGAAGAAGGAGGACGGUACCUGACUAAGAAGCCCCGGCUAACUACGUGCCAGCAGCCGCGGUAAUACGUAGGGGGCAAGCGUUAUCCGGAUUUACUGGGUGUAAAGGGGGCGCAGACGGCAGCGCAAGCCAGGAGUGAAAGCCCGGGGCCCAACCCCGGGACUGCUCUUGGAACUGCGCGGCUGGAGUGCAGGAGGGGCAGGCGGAAUUCCUGGUGUAGCGGUGAAAUGCGUAGAUAUCAGGAGGAACACCGGUGGCGAAGGCGGCCUGCUGGACUGCGACUGACGUUGAGGCCCGAAAGCGUGGGGAGCAAACAGGAUUAGAUACCCUCGUAC
rnacentral:rRNA from 1 species